AAUAAAUCAAAGCUAAUCAUCCACCGCAGCCUUAGGUCAUCAAUCAAAUCAAAGCUAAGAAGAAGGAUUGCUUAUGAUCAAGAGCCUCAUCUCAUCUUAUAGUAGUAGAAAACAUAUACAUAUAGCGUACGUUGGUACAAUUAAUCAAUAUGCAUGCAUGACACGUCCGGUCUGACCCAUCAACAAUGAACCCAAACUCGCAAGAACAGCGAUAUGGAGCUAGCUUAAUUAGUUGACGGUGACCUUUCCGACCAUGCCGGCCCCGGCGUGCGGCUCGCAGUAGAAGCCGUAGGUGCCGGGCACGGUGAGGGUGACGGAGAAGGUCUCGCCGGGGGCGUUGAGGUACUCCUCCUGGGAGAUCUUGGAGACGUCCACGCCGGAGGGCACGGCGUCCUCGUCGAACACCACGUUGUGCGGGUACCCGGCGUUGUUCUUGAAGGUGAUGGUCUCGCCGGCCUUGACGCUGAAGUCGUUGGGCUCGAACACCAGCACGCCGCCGUUGGCGCCCAGGAGCACGUCCUGCGCCAUCGCCGACCCGC
rnacentral:lncRNA from 1 species